GCCCUUAGAGUUUGAUCAUGGCUCAGAACGAACGCUGGCGGCAGGCUUAACACAUGCAAGUCGAACGAAGCCUUCGGGCUUAGUGGCGGACGGGUGAGUAACGCGUGGGAACGUGCCCUUUGCUACGGGAUAGUCCUGGGAAACUGGGUUUAAUACCGUAUGGUGUCUACGGACUAAAGAUUUAUCGGCAAAGGAUCGGCCCGCGUUGGAUUAGGUAGUUGGUGGGGUAAAGGCCUACCAAGCCGACGAUCCAUAGCUGGUUUGAGAGGAUGAUCAGCCACACUGGGACUGAGACACGGCCCAGACUCCUACGGGAGGCAGCAGUGGGGAAUCUUAGACAAUGGGGGCAACCCUGAUCUAGCCAUGCCGCGUGAUCGAUGAAGGCCUUAGGGUUGUAAAGAUCUUUCGCUGGGGAAGAUAAUGACGGUACCCAGUAAAGAAGCCCCGGCUAACUCCGUGCCAGCAGCCGCGGUAAUACGGAGGGGGCUAGCGUUGUUCGGAAUUACUGGGCGUAAAGCGCGCGUAGGCGGAUUGGAAAGUUGGGGGUGAAAUCCCGGGGCUCAACCUCGGAACUGCCUCCAAAACUAUCAGUCUUGAGUUCGAGAGAGGUGAGUGGAAUUGCGAGUGUAGAGGUGAAAUUCGUAGAUAUUCGCAGGAACACCAGUGGCGAAGGCGGCUCACUGGCUCGAUACUGACGCUGAGGUGCGAAAGUGUGGGGAGCAAACAGGAUUAGAUACCCUGGUAGUCCACACCGUAAACGAUGAGUGCCAGACGUCGGCAAGCAUGCUUGUCGGUGUCACACCUAACGGAUUAAGCAUUCCGCCUGGGGAGUACGGUCGCAAGAUUAAAACUCAA
rnacentral:rRNA from 1 species